rnacentral:rRNA from 1 species
AUUGAACGCUGGCGGCAGGCCUAACACAUGCAAGUCGAACGAGUGGCGGACGGGUGAGUAAUGUCUGGGACACUGCCAGAUGGAGGGGGAUCAACACUGGAAACGGUAGCUAAUCCCGCAUACAAGCGGAUGUGCCCAAAUGGGUUUAGCUAGUAGGUGGGGUAAGGGCUCCCCUAGGCGACGAUCCCUAGCUGGUCUGAGAGGAUGACCAGCCACACUGGAACUGAGACACGGUCCAGACUCCUACGGGAGGCAGCAGUGGGGAAUAUUGCAUAAUGGGCGCAAGCCUGAUGCAGCCAUGCCGCGGGUGUGAAGAAGGCCUUCGGGUUGUAAAGUACUUUCAGCGAGGAGGCGUUACUCGCAGAAGAAGCACCGGCUAACUCCGUGCCAGCAGCCGCGGUAAUUC